rnacentral:rRNA from 1 species
CCCUAUUAUUUGGAAUGUUAAUUUUAUGUGCUUGAGUAGUAUUAGUUAUGUUCUUGAAACUUAAAGAAUUUGGCGGUAUCUCAUUCCUUCCAGAGGAAUCUGUCCCGUUAUCGAUAGUCCGCGUUGGACCUUACUUAGGCUUGAAUAUGGUUUGUAUACCGCCGUUUAUUGAUUAUCUUUUUAAAGUUUUAAUUUUCUGGUUUCUUUAUUUUGAUUUAUUUCAGGUCAAGGGGCAGCUUGUUUCUAAUUGAAAUGAUGGAUUACAAUGUUAUUUGUUUUUGGAUUGUUGAUUUUAAUAUUGGCAUGAAAUUGGAUUUGGUUGUAAUAAUUUGUAGAUUGUUAUUAUGAUAGUUGGUUCUGGGAUAUGCACACAUCGCCCGUCGCUCUCGUUUGUUGUUAAUGAGAUAAGUCGUAACAUAGUAA